AGUUUUUGUGUCAGUAUCAUGGACUCCUCACCUGUGUGGGUGUCUCUUGGGAUCUUCCUUUCCUCAGAAGCUUGGAGAUCUGGGACCCAUGGCUCUUCCCCUGCUUCCAGCUGGGCGAUCAGACAUCAACUCCCACUGUCAGCAGAGGACAAAGUCAAGGCAAAAUUUCAUUACACCAAAACAUGGAUGAAGAUGUAAAUGUUUGAGUCAGAAGGCAGAAAUAAUGAUAUCAUAGAACCAGUGUCAGACACAUCUGAAAUUGAAAGAUGAAUUGGAACUUAUGCUGAACUCUUGU